AAAAUCAUUUAGCACAGUAAGUUUAUAAGCUUAUUACCAUUUUGUUCAAAAAUCUCACACGUGCAAACAUAGAGUUAUGCGAUUAUAGUUUCCAAUAUAUCGAUUAGUAAUUGCGUAUAUCGCUCAUUCCUAUUUGUGUCAUCAGCAAAUGCUCUUAAUUAAUUGUUUGUUUAUAUUCGGUAUUUUAGCAAUUUUCUUCUUUAGAUUGACUAAUUAUUGCAAAACUUCAAGAAAAUAUUCCACAUAAUAGAUUAAGAAGGCAAUGUAUUGCAAAGCGAGUGCGAAUAUGAAGCUGCCAAAAUGUUAAUCGUGCCAAAGCGACGGUGGAAACGCCACCUAACAAUUACAAUAGAAGAUUAAAUCAGCUAAAGAAAAACACCCAUGAGUUGCUUGCAAGCUGCCAUAGUUCAACAUAUCUAAGUUGAUGGCACAAACAAUCAUUUCGGCGAGAGUUGUGUCCUCGCGCAAUAUAAAUGAUGACACCGAUCGCGUAUUGAAAGUCUAGCAGCAUUAUGCAUAGCUGCUUCUAAAACGUCUCCACCACGGUAAUGGAUUUACCUGUGCUAAAGCCAAGUACGAUAUUAAUAAGUUUGGAAAAAUUACUAUGAGCGAAUUUGGAAUUUUUUCUUGAGGUGAAAGAAUAUUGGCGCUGCUAUUUGAAAGCUUACAUUCCGUGGGUUUUUCGUUUUCUUUUUUCGCAACAGGACGGAGCAAUAUGGACGUAGAAAUGGAAUUAAUUAAUUAACAUAGGCACAUAUUCGCCUAUGCAUAGGUGAUGCCAAGCGCCAAUUGCCUUAAUAUGUAUGUAUGAGUUUGUGUUGCUGUUCUUUUGGCUUAAACCAGAGAAAAUAUAAUGGUGUUUAAAGAAGUGCAAAUAUAAAAUUGUAUUUAAAUAUUUCUAUAUUUCUGGUUUAUAUAAAUUUAUUGGAUAAGCUUUGUGAAAUUCAAAGCUCGUGAAUUUCUUAACACAGUUGUGAUUUGUAACAAAAAUGUGUGCUUUUAUUGGACAAAUCAAAAGCUUUAAGUUCAAAAAUCAUACUGAAAGUAUUGUAGUAACUUAGACGAAUGGUGUGCAACUGUUUCCGUGGUGUAGUGGUUAUCACAUCCGCCUAACACG